AUACGAAAGGUGCAAGCGUUGUUCGGAUUUACUGGGCGUAAAGAGAUCGUAGGUGGUUUAUUAAGUCGGAUGUGAAAUCCCGGGGCUCAACCCCGGAACUGCAUUCGAUACUGGUAGACUAGAGUUUGGGAGGGGUAAGCGGAAUUCCGUGUGUAGCAGUGAAAUGCGUAGAUAUACGGAGGAACACCUGAGGCGAAGGCGGCUUACUGGACCAAUACUGACACUGAGGAUCGAAAGCGUGGGUAGCAAACAGGAUUAGAAACCCUAGUAGUCC
rnacentral:rRNA from 1 species